rnacentral:rRNA from 1 species
UACGGAAGGCAGCAGUGGGGAAUAUUGCACAAUGGGCGCAAGCCUGAUGCAGCCAUGCCGCGUGUAUGAAGAAGGCCUUCGGGUUGUAAAGUACUUUCAGUCGUGAGGAAGGUGUUAAGGUUAAUAACCUUAGCAAUUGACGUUAGCGACAGAAGAAGCACCGGCUAACUCCGUGCCAGCAGCCGCGGUAAUACGGAGGGUGCGAGCGUUAAUCGGAAUUACUGGGCGUAAAGGGCACGCAGGCGGUUAAUUAAGUUGGAUGUGAAAUCCCCGGGCUUAACCUGGGAAUGGCAUUCAAGACUGGUUAGCUAGAGUCUUGUAGAGGGGGGUAGAAUUCCAUGUGUAGCGGUGAAAUGCGUAGAGAUGUGGAGGAAUACCGGUGGCGAAGGCGGCCCCUGGACAAAGGCUGACGCUCAUGUGCGAAAGCGUGGGGAGCAAAC